rnacentral:misc_RNA from 1 species
GAAAUGCGAUAAGUAAUGUGAAUUGCAGAAUUCAGUGAAUCAUCGAAUCUUUGAACGCACAUUGCGCCCCGUGGUAUUCCGCGGGGCAUGCCUGUUCGAGCGUCAUUAUGACCAAUCCCGCUCGCGGGGUCUUGGGCACCGCCUCCGGGCGGGCCUCAAAACCAGUGGCGGUCCGGCCGGGCUCUGAGCGUAGUAAAUCUUCUCGCUACAGGGUCCCGGGCGGCACUGGCCAGCAACCCCCAAUCUUUCACAGGUUGACCUCGGAUCAGGUAGGGAUACCCGCUGAACUUAA